CUCGUAGGCGGUUUGUCAAGUUAGGUGUGAAAUCCCCGGGCUUAACCUGGGACGUGCACUUAAAACUGUCAGGCUAGAGUCUGGGAGGGGAUAGCGGAAUUCUGGGUGUAGAGGUGAAAUUCGUAGAUAUCCGGAGGAACACCAGAGGCGAAGGCGGCUAUCUGGACCAGAACUGACGCUGAGGAGCGAAAGCGUGGGGAGCAAACA
rnacentral:rRNA from 1 species